GGAGUUGUAGCUUAGCGGUAAAGUGCUUGCCUAGUACACAUGAGGCACUGGGUUCAAUUCUCAGCACCA
rnacentral:tRNA from 1 species